UACGUAGGGAGCAAGCGUUGUCCGGAAUCAUUGGGCGUAAAGCGCGCGUAGGUGGCUUCGUAAGUCCGUUGUGAAAGUCAAAGGCUCAAACCUUUGAAAGCCGAUGGAUACUGCGGAGCUAGAGUACGGAAGAGGCGAGUGGAAUUCCUGGUGUAGCGGUGGAAUGCGUAGAUAUGCGGAGGAACACCGAUGGCGAAGGCAAUCCCCUGGACCUGUACUGACGCUCAUGCACGAAAGCGUGGGAGCAACAGG
rnacentral:rRNA from 1 species